rnacentral:RNase_P_RNA from 1 species
CGGGCUUCACAGGGCAGGAUGCCGGAUAACGUCCGGUGGAGGUGACUCCAAGGCCAGUGCAACAGAAAUAAACCGCCGGAGACGAAGGGUUUCCGGUAAGGGUGGAAAGGCAGUGUAAGAGACUACCGCCCGGCUGGUAACAGGCGGGGCACAUGUAAACCCCAUCCGAAGCAAGACCAAGCAGAAGCAUAUGGCGGCCCGUCAGCUUCAGGUAGGUCGCUUGAGCGUAUCGGCAACGAUACGCCUAGAUAGAUGAUUGUCCAACGACAUAACCCGGCUUAUCGUUUUGCUUGCUGU